AGAGUUUGAUCAUGGCUCAGAUUGAACGCUGGCGGCAGGCCUAACACAUGCAAGUCGAACGGUAACAGGAAGCAGCUUGCUGCUUUGCUGACGAGUGGCGGACGGGUGAGUAAUGUCUGGGAAACUGCCUGAUGGAGGGGGAUAACUACUGGAAACGGUGGCUAAUACCGCAUAACGUCGCAAGACCAAAGAGGGGGACCUUCGGGCCUCUUGCCAUCAGAUGUGCCCAGAUGGGAUUAGCUUGUUGGUGAGGUAACGGCUCACCAAGGCGACGAUCCCUAGCUGGUCUGAGAGGAUGACCAGCCACACUGGAACUGAGACACGGUCCAGACUCCUACGGGAGGCAGCAGUGGGGAAUAUUGCACAAUGGGCGCAAGCCUGAUGCAGCCAUGCCGCGUGUAUGAAGAAGGCCUUCGGGUUGUAAAGUACUUUCAGCGGGGAGGAAGGUGUUGUGGUUAAUAACCACAGCAAUUGACGUUACCCGCAGAAGAAGCACCGGCUAACUCCGUGCCAGCAGCCGCGGUAAUACGGAGGGUGCAAGCGUUAAUCGGAAUUACUGGGCGUAAAGCGCACGCAGGCGGUCUGUCAAGUCGGAUGUGAAAUCCCCGGGCUCAACCUGGGAACUGCAUUCGAAACUGGCAGGCUUGAGUCUUGUAGAGGGGGGUAGAAUUCCAGGUGUAGCGGUGAAAUGCGUAGAGAUCUGGAGGAAUACCGGUGGCGAAGGCGGCCCCCUGGACAAAGACUGACGCUCAGGUGCGAAAGCGUGGGGAGCAAACAGGAUUAGAUACCCUGGUAGUCCACGCCGUAAACGAUGUCUACUUGGAGGUUGUGCCCUUGAGGCGUGGCUUCCGGAGCUAACGCGUUAAGUAGACCGCCUGGGGAGUACGGCCGCAAGGUUAAAACUCAAAUGAAUUGACGGGGGCCCGCACAAGCGGUGGAGCAUGUGGUUUAAUUCGAUGCAACGCGAAGAACCUUACCUGGUCUUGACAUCCACGGAAGUUUUCAGAGAUGAGAAUGUGCCUUCGGGAACCGUGAGACAGGUGCUGCAUGGCUGUCGUCAGCUCGUGUUGUGAAAUGUUGGGUUAAGUCCCGCAACGAGCGCAACCCUUAUCCUUUGUUGCCAGCGGUUAGGCCGGGAACUCAAAGGAGACUGCCAGUGAUAAACUGGAGGAAGGUGGGGAUGACGUCAAGUCAUCAUGGCCCUUACGACCAGGGCUACACACGUGCUACAAUGGCGCAUACAAAGAGAAGCGACCUCGCGAGAGCAAGCGGACCUCAUAAAGUGCGUCGUAGUCCGGAUUGGAGUCUGCAACUCGACUCCAUGAAGUCGGAAUCGCUAGUAAUCGUGGAUCAGAAUGCCACGGUGAAUACGUUCCCGGGCCUUGUACACACCGCCCGUCACACCAUGGGAGUGGGUUGCAAAAGAAGUAGGUAGCUUAACCUUCGGGAGGGCGCUUACCACUUUGUGAUUCAUGACUGGGGUGAAGUCGUAACAAGGUAACCGUAGGGGAACCUGCGGUUG
rnacentral:rRNA from 5 species